rnacentral:rRNA from 1 species
UACGGAGGGUGCAAGCGUUAUCCGGAUUUACUGGGUUUAAAGGGUGCGUAGGUGGGUUGGUAAGUCAGUGGUGAAAUCUCUGAGCUUAACUCAGAAACUGCCAUGGAUACUAUUUGUCUUGAAUAUUGUGGAGGUAAGCGGAAUAUGUCAUGUAGCGGUGAAAUGCUUAGAUAUGACAUAGAACACCAAUUGCGAAGGCAGCUUACUACACAGUUAUUGACGCUGAGGCACGAAAGCGUGGGGAUCAAACAGG